CCCAACUAUCCCUAUUAAUCAUUACAUCGAUCCUAAAAACCAAUAAAAUAGGAUUAAACGUCCUAUUUCAUUAUUCCAUGCUAAUGUAUUCAAGCGCGAGCCUGCUUUAAACACUCUAAUUUUUUCAAAGUAACAGACCUGAUUCCCCGGCACACCAACUGAAUGGCAUUAUGGUUCUUCAGAAGGGAGGAAUCAGUGACACCAGUGCAUACCAAAGGCACGACCAGCGUACUGAUCCCGAAAUUCAACUACGAGCUUUUUAACUGCAACAACUUUAAUAUACGCUAUUGGAGCUGGAAUUACCGUGGCUGCUGGCACCAGACUUGCCCUCCAA
rnacentral:misc_RNA from 1 species